ACUCAAAGGAAUUGACGGGGACCCGCACAAGCGGUGGAGCAUGUGGUUUAAUUCGACGGUAAGCGAGGAACCUUACCAAGUCUUGACAUACAGCUGCAAAUCCUAGGAAACUAGGACUUCUUCGAGAGUGCUGCACAGGUGCUGCACGGUUGUCGUCAGCUCGUGCCGUGAGGUGUUCACUUAAGUGUGAAAACGAGCGCAACCCCUAUUGUGAGUUACAAGUGUCUCACGAAACUGCCAGCGUUUAAGCUGGAGGAAGGCGGGGAUGACGUCAAAUCAGCGUGGCUCUUACGACUUGGGCUACACACGUGCUACAAUGGGUAGGAUAAAGGGACGCCAAGGCGUAAGCCGGAGCAAAUCCCGCCAAUACUACCCCCAGUUCGGAUCGAGGGCUGCAACUCGCCCUCGUGAAGCCGGAAUCGCUAGUAACCGUAAAUCAGCCUCGUUACGGUGAAUACGUUCUCGGGUUUUGCACACACCGCCCGU
rnacentral:rRNA from 1 species